rnacentral:lncRNA from 1 species
UUUCUAUUCAUUUAAGGUGGUAUGGGAGUCUAAAAUAAAAAUGAUAGAAUUUGUUCAUACUUUGCCAAAACGUUGUAUCUAUUGAUACAUGUUGAAAAAUAUAAUAAAAAUGAUAGGUCACCGCGCAUUUUCUCAAGCUACAGGAUGGGACAAAAUGACACAUUUUGUAUGGAUUAUGCAGGAAAAACACCAUUUUGUGAUUAGAAACUAAACAAAAUGAUAGAAUUGUUAAAUACUUCAGCAAAAGAUAGCUUUCAGACACUGCUUUGAGAAUAUCAAAAGAAAAGAUAGGGUCACCGUACGUUUUUUCCGGCUAAAAUACAAAAUAGGAAAAUUCCAUACAGAAUCCUUCAGAAAAUGCACUUUUUUAGAGUUACCUCCCUUUAAAAUGCCAAUUUAAAAAAAAAAUAAAAACAACCAAAAAUAAUUAACAUUUGCAAAAAUAUCAAUAUUUAGAAGUUAUAUUCUUAUAAAUUGGUACUUUUAAAUGAAAAUGUACAUUAAACAUCUGCAUUCCUGCAUCAAAUUUUGCUAACUUGAUGGAAAAUCUGGACCUUUGAUUCUCUGUUUUUUACAAUCCAAGAUGGAGAAGACACCCAUACCACCUUAAGUGUAAUUUAAUGGACAAUGAAAAUCCCAUUUGUCUGUUAUCUUUAGAACACUGGUCAUUUACAAGCCCUCAAGGAGCAAUGUUUGAAGGCCUUGCGCAAAUACUUAAGGGGGUUCGCGGGUAUAAAUCAUUUUUAUUAUGCCCCACCUACGAUAGUAGAGGGGCAUUAUGUUUUCUGGUCUGUGCGUCCGUCCGUCUGUUCGUUCGUUCGUCCGUCUGUCCCGCCUCAGGUUAAAGUUUUUGGUCAAGGUAGUUUUUGAUGAAGUGAAGUCCAAUCAACUUGAAACUUAGUAUACAUGUUCCCUUUGAUAAAAUCAUUCUAAUUUUAAUGCCAAAUUAGAGAAUUUAUUCCAAUUUCACAGUCCUUGAAACAUAGAAAAUGAUAGUGCGAGUGGGGCAUCCGUGUACUGUGGACACAUUCUUGUUAUGCCCCACCUACGAUAGUAGAGGGGCAUUAUGUUUUCUGGUCUGUGCGUCCGUCUGUUCGUCCGUUCGUUCGUUCGUCCGUCUGUCCCGCUUCAGGUUAAAGUUUUUGGUCAAGGUAGUUUUUGAUGAAGUUGAAGUCCAAUCAACUUGAAACUUAGUAUACAUGUUCCCUUUGAUAAGAUCAUUCUAAUUUUAAUGCCAAAUUAGAGAAUUUAUUCCAAUUUCACGGUCCACUAAACAUAGAAAAUGAUAGUGCGAGUGGGGCAUCCGUGUACUAUGGACACAUUCUUGUUUUUUUCUAAUAUAGGAUUUCGCUAUAUAUUUUUAUAAAUGAACUUUAUCAUAUACUUGAUAGAAAAAUUAAAUAAAAAAAUUGGGUCACCGUUCAUUUAAGGUCACAAUCUGCCUACGAAAGAAGCAUACAUUUUUGUUAAUGUCCUUUUUUUCUGUUGAACUAAUAGGAGAAAUAGAGAUAAUAUCGAAAUAAAAAAAGAACUAAAUUACAGAAAUCACUUAGAUUUUACAAUUAUGUAGUUUAUGUACAGCAUGUACAGCUUAUUUGAAAACAAUAAUAGAAAUAUAGGUCACCGAUUCUUUUUGGUGAUUCUUGUACCAUAUCAUAAAGUAAUAACUAAUUAUGUAAUAAAUAAAAUUUGUAUUGAAAAAACAAAUGUUUGAUUUUUUGCUGAAAUUUUUGUACCCGCGAGCCUCCUUAAGAUCUCUGCGCAAUCAGUUUCCUUGUUGAAUUAAUGAGAUGAAACAUUGAACUCUAAUAAAAAAUUAUGAGUCAACUUUGGACCAAUCAUUAAAGGCAUGUUUUUACAUUUCAAAACUUGAGAACUUUUGUGGGGUUGUAAAAAAAAAUUACUUAUAUAUAUACAAGUAAAUUUUUGAGAAAAUUAAGGGGAGAUUAUCCAAACAUUAAAUUACCUAUAUCAGUUUUUUUUUUACCUCUUCAAGUUAAUAAAAAUAACUUGUACGAGUAGUACCCCUGACUAUAGGUCACCAUAUAGUAUUCCAGUAGUAAAACUGCUGGGUCAUCUGGAUGCACCUUUGCCAAGCUACAUGUAUGACACUAAACAAAAAAUAUAAAACAUGCAAGAUAAACAUGUUAUUUUGCUUACAAAGACAUUUUCUGGCAACAUAUUGACUUUUACUUACAUUUUAUUUUUUACACAAACUUAUUUUACUUGCCUUAUAUUGUUUAUAAGAAUGUAAAUAGAAGGAAGAAUUGAACAAGAAAUCAUAGUCAAUAUAAAAUAGUUUGAUGAGCAAAUUUGUUUGGUNNNNNNNNNNNNNNNNNNNNNNNNNAUUGUAUCUGCCCUUAUUUAUUUUAGAUCGUCAAUGAAGGACAUGCUUUCUUGUGAAUGUCACACUGAAAGCCUUACACUACUGACAUUUUUAGGCACUUUUUGGACAUUAUUUUUGUAAGAGCACAAUAUACUGCUACCAUCUUUUGAUAAGAACCAACUGAUCAUAAUAUAUUAUCAAACAUAAAAACAUCACAAAUAUAUUUAUUACAAAUGUUAUAUAUAUGGUAGAUCAUACAAGAGACUGACCAGAGGUUUAAGAAAGUCAUAAUUUUUUUGUUUAAUACCUAUAUAUGUAAGAUACUUGAUUAUAUUACAUAGUUGUCAUGAUUUUUACUUUUGUGUAUUUAUUGACUGUACAAAUUUAUGAAAAUGUGUGAGAUCUAUUAUGACUAUGAAAGAUCAAAGGAUUCUUUGAAUUUGCAUGUCAUGAUUCAAUGUACAUUUGUACAUACUUUCUUGCUUUAUAUUGUUCCUCAUUUUUAACUGCACACAUUUCACUGUGAUUAUACUUAUGAAAUAACAUUGUUUAAUUUUUCAGAUAAACAUGGUCAGACUUUGUCUGACGCUUAACGACAAAGUUAACAGCAACAUGCCAGAAUUCAUUUGCUAAAUUGGCUCUCAUGUAUGCAGGGAUGAGAAUAAGUAUCCUUUAUCAUGUUUUGACACAUGGACAUGUAUUUAUAUAUAUAUAAUACAUUCUUGUAUUGCAGAAUACACAGUAUGUUUAAUUGCAGAAUUUUGUUGCAUGUUAGUAAAUCUAUUGAACUCCUGCAGGGGAGGAUCCAGCUAUUUUUAAUAAGAGGGUGUUCCCAACCUAGGAUGAAAAGGGGGAUCCAAACCAUAUGUCCAAUUCAAAUGCAUUAUCCUACCUCACUAUAUUAUAAAUGUGUUACACAGUGGCUAGAGCUUAUGAUAUAUAUGGGCUUACAGAAUUACGACCCCAUAUAAUGUCUUAUUAGAUCACUAACACACCAGUACUAAAAAUCUUUAGCAUUUGUAGUAUUUACUACCAUAUUUUCAUUUGUAAACAUUUCACGGAUAAUCAUUUGUUUCCCUGUUGAUGUCAGCCGGCUACACCCGGUUUGAAAAUAUAAUAAAUAUAAAUAUAAAAAAAAUAAGAAUUAUUUAUUUUAUCGCUAGACUUCUUUUUGUGCCUAUCAUAAACAUUUGAUGCAAAAGAUUACUAUUAGUAUAAGACUGGUUUACAAAAAUAUCUUGAAUGAAUAUUAUCUUCACAAACAUACAUGUAAUUUGGCUAGGGAGCGAUAAAUAUAGUACAGAUCUAUUAUGUCCCGACAGAAAUCUGUCUAAGGGAGAAACUACUUUAGAAUACUAAGUAUCAGUUAUAUGUAGAUCUUGACAAACUGUCAAAUGAAAUCAUUCUGAAAAAAGGCGCUGUUUAAUGAUCUUUAAAAAAAUGUAAUCGUAAUACUAGUUGAUAUAAUACCAUUGUAUUGCAUCUACAAUGGUUCAGAAGUGUUCUAAGAUUUGUAAAUUAUUUAAUAUACCAAAAUUUGAUCAGAAAUUUAAAUUGACCAAUUUAAGAAAACAUACAAUAUUAACACGGAUUUUCUAAAUCUUUCACUAAAGGUUAUCGCAAAUUAUUUUGUCUUUUUACACCAUAAUGUCUACGAGUAUUUUUGGACAUUGUAAAAGAUUAACAGAUUUGAUUUCUGUACUGAAAUGAAAUCAUUUUAUCCCAACUGGACAGUUAAACAGAAUCUGAACUGGAAAAAUGUGUUUAGACUGCCUUUCACAGUUAUUAAAUAAUGUAAAAGAUAGGGGUUGCAAUACAGGAUAAGCCUUUUCAUUAUUUCAAAAAUUCAGUGUUUAUGUAAAAUCAAACUUACUGAUGAUCUUUUCUGUAUAAUUUGUAAAACAAAAAACGAGUCUAUAGAACAUAUUUUGGAAUUAUGUUACUGUACAAUGUAUUCUACAAGAUAUCGAUGACAGCUUUCUUGUCCAUAAUAUUCCCCCAAAUCCAAACUACGUGAUUUUUCUUUAUAUUAAUCAAUAUAUGUAAAAUUAUAGUAGCUUCAAAAAGAAUUUCUCACUACAAGCAAUUAAAAUCAUGAUGAAAGAUCUGUACAAAGUAAAGAGUAUGUAGCUGUAAAUAAAUAACUGAAUUUGACAAUGUAUUCAAAGCUUUUGAAAACCUGUUAUCUAAUAUAUGAUAAUGAAUAUCAACCAAUCAUUUAUUUUCCAGAAUAUAUAAUGUCCGUGUAUUUUUCUUUACCUUUCGUAGUGGCUGUUACAAAAGAAAUAUGUACAGUUAUCUUUAUUUAUUCAUCAUUAGUUUAUGUUACUUAGAAAUAUAUAUGUAUUUUAGUUAUAUAAUUUUCCAACCUUAUACGACAAGUUACUUAUCAUAUUUAUUUUUACAUUUUGUUUUUACUUUUUUCUUUUGAUCUGUUCUAUAUAUAGAAAAUUUUCUCAGUUGUAAGAUAUUCAUGAUUAGACUUAAAAUGGGGACUAACUGUGCACCACUUAUUGCGGACCUGUUUUUGUAUUGUUAUGAGUUACAAUUUAUCACUAAAAUUAGCAAAGACCCAUCGAAACAACAUUUGAUACAAUAAUUUAACAAUACUUUUAGAUAUUUGGAUGAUAUAUUGGCUCUUUAUAAUGCCGACUUCAGUAUUUAUACUAAAGAAAUUUAUCCUGUUGAACUUUAAAUAAAGCUAAUACUAACAAUGACCACUGCCCUUUCCUCGAUCUUGAUACCUAUAUCAUUAACGGGAAGCUUAUUACAAAAGUUUAUGAUAAAAGAGAUGAUUUGCCAUUUCCUAUCGUUAAUUAUCCAUUUUUAGACGGUGACGUUCCUUUGUCACCAUCUUAUGGUGUUUAUAUAUUUCAACUUGUACGAUUCGCUCGUGUUUGUAACAACGUAUUAGAUUUUAGCGAGAGAAACUAAUGUAUUACUGAAAAAUUAUUUUCGAUAUCACAAACUAGUCAAAUCAUUUACUAAAUUUUAUCAUCGGUAUAAGGAAAUAAUUCGUAAAUAUAACUCAACAUGCAGACAUCUUAUACGUUCAGGUAUGUCACAUCCAAUCUUUUAUGGUAAAAUUCUUUACAAAGCACAAAAAGCACAAAAAAAAUGUCAGUAUUCACCUCAAAAGCUUACAAAACCUUUAAAUUGACUUAUUAACAAGGGAUAUAGUUACGAUACUGUUGUCAGGUCAUUAAAGAUUGCAUAUUUUGCCUUUAUUAUUGAUUCACUUAUAGGGACUUUGUAUCGGAACUAAACAAAUUUAUUUAAAAAAACAGUUGUUGCUAUGACAUGGGUUAUGUUCUUCUCAUAUAUUUUAUGAUAGUAUGAUACUAAACCCCUAACGGGAGGGAUUGUGCCUGAUAUUCAUAUGAUGAAGACAUAAUCUUUCAAUCAGUUUAAUUGAAGUCUGGAGCUGUCAGUUAAUUGCUAGUAGUCUGUUGUUAUUUAUGUAUUAUUGUCAAUUUAUUUAUUUUAUUUUGUUUCAUCUUCUGACAUCGGACUCAGACUUCUCUUGAACUGAAUUUUAAUGUGCGCAUUGUUAUGCGUUUACUUUUCUACAUUGGCUAGAGGUAUAGGGGGAGGGUUGAGAUCUCAUGAACAUGUUUAACCCGCCGCAAUUUUGCGCCUGUCCUAAAUCAGGAGCCUCUGGCCUUUGUUAGUCUUGUAAGAUAUUUAAUUUUAGUUUCUUGUGUAUAAUUCGGAGUUUAGUAUGACGUCCAUUAUCACUGUACUAGUAUAUAUAUUUUUAAGGGGCCAGCUGAAGGACGCCUACGGGUACGGGAGUUUCUCGCUACAUUGAAGACCCAUUGGUGUCCUCCGGCUGUUGUCUGCUCUAUGGUCGGGUUGUUGUCGCUUUGACACAUUCCCCAUUUUCUUUCUCAAUUUUAUGAUAAAGAUUUUGUACAUCUUACAUGUAUUGUAUUGUAUGUGUGUCAAUGCUAUUUGUUGGAAGAAAAAAUAGAGAAAAAAAUAACUAGUUUUUAAUCGAAGUAUUAUAACACUUUUAAAUCCAUAUACUUUUAAUAACACUUACACCUGUUUUACGAGUAAUGCAAAUUUAAGAUAUCAAUAGACAAAGUCAUUUGUCAAAAUCAAAAAGAAAAUGGCAUGAGGGUAAGAAAAGAAUAGUAAGAAAGGAAAAUCGAUUAAAAGACAAGUAACAGCAUACAAAACAACAAUAAACACAACAACCUAAAUACUGAGCAACACAAACCCAAAUGUAAAAUGGGAGUGAUAUCAGCUGCUCACAAAGGGGAAACAGAUACUGCUCCACAUAUGGAACCCUUUGUGUUGCUAAUGAAAGUAAAACCUUGUUAAAAUUAUUAUCCGGUAGUUCAUAUUCGAUGAGAAGAUGUCAAGAGUGUCGUUAGGACAUCAGGAACAUAUCAGUCGUCAUCAUUAUAACAGAAAUUUCAACCAACUCGUGAUCGAGUCUAUACAAUUAUCGAAGGGACUUUACCACUUGGAACUUUCUUGUAAGCAGUAAUCCUCUAUCAAGGAAAUCACGAUAGGAAUUUCAAGUUCAGCAAUAUCGUAUAAACUGGGAGACAUAUGUUGAGAAAAGCAUAUAUGGUGUUAUAACAAAUUAUCUCACUUUUACUGUAUCCCGUAUAUUUUCAAUUGUCCCUUCUUCAUCGGGCUUUGUAUGACAGUUGUUGUUACAAAAUAGCUUAAUUAGAUUUUUCGACAGGUCUUUCAAAAUAUUAUAUAAAGGCAACAAUAGUAUACCGCUGUUCGAAAUUCAUAAUUAUAUAAAUUGAUUGAGAAAAAAAUCCCGGUUUCAAACUAAACCUGAGGGAAACACAUCAAACAUAAGAGAAACUACGAAACAACAGAAACACGACAUUAAAAUGUAACACACACAUAAACGAACUAUAAUAUAACAAUGGCCAUUUUCCUGACUUAGUACAGGACAUUUUCAGAAACAAAAUAGUGGGUUGAACCUGUUUUUUUGGCAUGCCAAACCUCCUGCUUUUAUGGCAAUGUUAAAUAUAACAUUAGAAAGACAACAUUACAUGACAAGACUACAAUACAAAUAAAUGGAAGAAAAUAUAAGUCAAACGAAUAAUAGCUAACAAAAGGUACCACGUGUAAAAUUUAAUACGUCAGACGCGCGUUUCGUGCACACAAGACUAACCAGUGACGCUCAGAUGUAAAAAGUUCGCAAUUUAAAACAAGUACAAAGUUGAAGAGCAUUGAGGACCAAAAGUUCCAAAAAGUUAUAUAUAUCAUUGAUCAUGCAUAAUCUUCUGUAUGAUUUAUUUAUCGCUCCCAAUCUACCUUAGUCUUGUGUCUAAACUAUCCAAAAGUAUCGAAUAUGCAGUGCGGACCUCUUUGAGACAGAUAAAAGGUAGGAUUUCUGUUUACUCAUUUGUUAUUUGUAUACAUAUAUAGAAUAUUGGUUUUUUUUACAUUUAUAUACAAAUUUAUUCAGUAGCCAUUCGACGAUCACAAAGUUCAUAAACAUUCUUUUAAAUAGUUUUAAAAGAAAAACUGUCAAAAGGUCUUAAUAAAAAUAACCAUGAAUGAAUCUUUCUGAAAAGGACAAUCAUAUCUAUUUCAUUUUAGUAUUCCUAAUGCAGACUGAUAAUAAUUUUUACUUUGAAAAAGCAAUAAGACACGGUGCAUAUGUGUGCCAAAUUUCAUGUGUGAAAUAAAAGUAUUUUUGAAGAAAUAAGCAAUUGAAAACAUAAAUUAUGUCAACAUUUUGGUAUUGAUUUAACAAGGAUUAUUCCAUGAUAUAAUCAUUAUGUUGCUUACAAUAUCGGGUCAUUAACAAGGACAGUGGUCACUUGUUACAUCUCCAAUGUUUGCUUGUUGUGUGGUUGAUUUAUUUGUUUUGAAUAACCAGCUAACUUUGUAAAUUUUCUUCGGAUGAAUAUGUUUCAUGUAAACCAAUAGUUCCAUCAGAAUGUAUGCUGUAUGCGUCGCAUUUUACAACUUGAUUCGAAUGCAAUUUAUAGCAGAACAAAUGAAAUUAGCUUUCUAACCUUAACUUGGUCGAUGGGCUUCAAACUUAACAGAACACAAUGAAACAAACACACUGAAACGUAAAAGCUACUGCAAGUUUAUGCAAUUUUUCUUUUUUGUUUCAAUCUGAUAAAAAAGAUGGUCUAUACUACAAUGUAAGUCGCAUGCUUGUAUAUAUAAGCUCAUAUGCGGAAAACUAAAGGUUAAUAUUUUAGGUUGAUGUUGUUACAACCCUCUCUUUGUAUAUAAGCAUCAUGUCAAUUGUUGACCAAUUUAUGCUCAAUAAGGCAUAUAAGUGUGUAAGAUGAAGUGUUAAUCUGUUUCUCAGUGGCGGAGCUAGAUGGGGUUGGAAUCUACCCCCUCUUUAUUUUGACGAUCAAUAUAUUUGAAUGGGAACAUACAGUUGGAACCCCCUUUAAAAAUGGCUCGAUCCGCCCCUGCUUUUCUAAUUGUCAUUUUGUUUUCAUUACUUUGAUGGACAACCCUCCGUAUUUAUUCAUCGUUUGCAGUCUUUAUUAUUUCUAUAGAUAAAAGAUAUAUCUGCUAAUUUAAUCCAUUAUACAUUAAUAUUGCCCAAUUUUUUAACUAAGUACAAUGGUAUGUGCUUCCACACUCAUCUAAAGAAAACUUAUUUUUUUCACAGAAAAUCAUUACGAACACAUUCUUUCAAAAAAGAGAUAAUUUAUAUCGCAUCUUAUAAAAAAAUGCCGAAUUUAGACAUUCAAUAGGUCAAGGUCAAUCUCACUGUUGUUAAACAGGCGAAAGAAAAUUUAAAAAAUGCACCCUAUAAGUAUAAAUGUUUAUCUCGAACCAUAUUUGGCAACAUAAAUUAAUCCUAAAUAUUCAAACUAUAUUUGUUAUCCUUUGAAAUAUUUGAAUUUAUUUUUAUAUAAACACAUAUUUGUAGGGGCGACUAGCUGUCUCAACGUGACUUUACGUAUUCCUUGAAAUUUUAACUUUGAUCUACCACCUAAAUUUAAGAACAACGUGCCCACUGUAAACAUCAAUAUGCCGAUGAGGCUUGUUCGCCUCUUUUCAAUGAUUUCAAAUACAGUCGUGUGUUCUUCUGGUAACCCAAAUCGACAAAAUUCGUUGACUGGGCACCCUACUAUUGGUCGGGUUUGUUGUAUAUUUUGACACGUUCCCAAUUUCCAUUCUCAUUUUAUUUUAAACUAGGUUUAACUUAUCAAUUUAAACUUAUAUUCAUAUUAAACACUUAUUAUUGCAACAGAUUGAGCAGAUGGAAAACGGUUAUCUUCGAUUGUUGCCCAAGCAGUUUCUACAGAGGUAUCUCCCUUAAUCAAUACACAUCCUCAAUGGAUAUUAUUAUUUUCUUUCCGUUAUAGUUUUCGAUAUCUACACUCAUCUUAUUUGGUUUUUUUCUGGUAAAUAUUUAUACGUAUCUUAACGCAAAACAUGCAUUCUUGUGCUGCAAGUAGUUUGAGUUGGGGGAAUAGUGAAAUAAUGAGUUGUUAAUGUCUGUGUCAUUUUGGUCUUUUGUGGAUAGUUGUCUCAUUGGCAAUCAUACCACAUCUUCUUUUUUAUAUUGACACAGAUAAUCCAUUAUUUAGAGAAAGAGAUGACAGUUUUCUGUUAAGUUUGUCUGCUCAAACAAACUGAUACGCGUAGAUCCAGGGUACGUAAUAACUAGUUACGCCUAAAUUCAAGAUACGUGAAUAAACUGUUAGCGUAACUCUAUAGUACGUGAAAAACGUGUUACGUGUACCGCUAGUGUAUGUGGACAACACCUAUAUAUUGUAUAAUAUUUACAAAACACUUUUGUUCUUUUUUGUAAAUUACUUUAAUGACCCACUAGGUGUUUAUGUCCUUUUUACAAAAACAUUUAAUAGUUACAUUAAAAACCGUUCUGAAAUUAACUAUUGAUUAAAUUAUACUCCAUUUCAUUGUCAAAACUUUCUUUACUAUUUCAAGAUGCCAAAAAUACUUCCGUUACUGAUUCUCGUUCUGUUUUGUAUAGAUUAGUUGCAAUUAUCAUGGACAUUGCUAACCAUAGACUAUUUAAACCCGUAUUGACUACAUCCAAUAGUGAGGAAAAGCGUUACUUUUUUAAGGUAGAAUUCGCCAAUAAAGGUUUAGAUGCUGUAAAUAUUGGCAAUAUUUUUCAUCAAAAAUCUGUACAAAAAACUAUACCUGAAUACUUCAAAAAUAAAGCUACACCUGUUAUUUCUUAUACUUACACCAAGUCUAUUGCAUCAAAGAUUUUCAACCACAAGAGAGUUUUAGAGGAUUUUUAACCUCAAAGAUACAAAAUCCAAGCCUCCGGAUUGCUCAUGUGCAUCUUCUCAAUACAAUUAUAGUCCAGCUGGUCAUAUUAUUACUGGUGACCUUGGUAUUGUUACCAAUAAACAACUAAGAGAGUUGCUAGCCAAGGGACCAAAGUAUAGAAUCCCCAAGCCCAUCAACUGGAAAAAGAAUUUCAAGUUACUGAUGGAUGCAGUUGAGGACUAUGCAAGAAAAUGGAUAAAGCGCGAACCAGACGAACCCGAACUGGACACUUUGUCUGAAUGGAUCAAAGCUAUUCGAUCAUGCAUUCAGAGGCGCAUACAAAAACUAAGAUGUAAUAUGAGUACAAGAGUUUCUAACCCUUUCAAGAAUCCGGAGGUUGUGGAUGCUUUAUCCUCUUUGCAUGACAAAUAUGUCGUUGUUCCGGCAGAUAAAGCCUCCAAUAAUAUUGUCUUCAUAUGUAAAAAACAUUAUUUGCAAUGUCUCACUACAGAGCUUGGAAUUGAUCAAACUACUGGUAAUCCUACAUAUUCUUUAACAUCAUUUACCAAGGAUGAAAUUUUACAAAAUCAUAAAUCUGUCCUUCUUUCUUUUGGUAUCAACAUCAAAGAAAACGAAGAAAACUUGCCCUCAUUAUACUGGAUACCUAAAUUACACAAAACUCCAUAUAAAGAACGAUACAUAGCUGGGUCUUCAAAAUGUUCGACUAAACAUCUUUCUAAAGUAUUGACUACUAUUCUUUCUACAGUUAAAGAUGGGCUUCAAAAAUAUUGUGAGGAGAUAUAUUCUACCAGUGGUGUUAACCAGAUGUGGAUUCUCAAAAAUUCGAAAGAUCUACUGCUUAACCUUCGAUCACAAUCUUUGCAAUUUUGCAGCAACAUAAAAACUUUUGAUUUUUCUACGCUAUAUACUACUAUUCCCCAUGCUCAGUUGAAAGAUCGACUUCACCAACUCAUAAAACAGAGCUUUUUCUAUAAAAAUGGGAAUCGUAGAUACAAAUUUCUUGUUUUGGGAUACAAUACUUCAUAUUUUGUGAAGAAUCACACUGAAUCUCCCAGAAAAUAUACUGAAGAUGAUAUUAUUAAAAUGCUGGACUUUUUGAUCGACAAUAUAUUUGUUGAGUUUGGAGGAUUUAUAUUUCAACAGACAGUCGGUAUUCCAAUGGGUACUAAUUGUGCACCCCUGCUGGCUGAUUUGUUUUUGUAUUCGUAUGAAGCAGAAUUUAUUCAGAACCUUCUAAAAGACAAAAAGAAAAAGCACCUUGCGAAAUUCUUUAAUUUUACUUUUCGAUAUAUUGAUGAUGUUUUAUCGUUGAACAACCCAUACUUCAGCCAAUACUUACAUCUCAUAUAUCCCAGUGAACUUGAAAUUAAGGAUACUACUGAUACUAGAAGGACUGCUUCAUACCUUGAUCUUUUCCUCAAUAUUGACGUAGAUGGACGACUUCACACAAAAAUCUAUGAUAAACGGGACGAUUUCAACUUCCCAAUUAUCAAUUUCCCAUUUCUCAGCAGUAACAUACCCUCUGCCCCUUCGUAUGGUGUUUACAUAUCACAAUUGAUACGUUAUUCACGUGCUUGUUCACACUAUACGGACUUCAUAUACAGGAGUGUGCUCCUUACGCAGAAACUGCUCCAACAAAGUUAUGAGGAGGACAGAUUAAAAUUGACACUCCGUAAAUUUUAUGGACACCAUCACGAAUUGGUUGAUCCAUAUAAUGUCUCUUUAACCAAACUAGCUAAGGACAUUUUUACCACAUGGUAGAUUGUGGUUUGUCAUUAUGUCGUCUAAUCUUUUAAUUACCAAACGUGACUUAUUCCCGAUUGUGACCGUUUUGCUGAAUGUGAAUUCGCAUUACUAUAAGACGUGUUUCUGUACUUGUUUAUCCCAAAUUCAUGUAUUUAGUUUACAUGUUUAAUGUUAUAUUUGUAAUUCUCAUCAGAUUUUGUCAAAUGUGUUGACGUCUUCUUAUUAUAUAUUUAGGUAUGACGUAUAGAAAAAUUAACCACCUCCUCUUUAUUAAUUAUAUUAAAUUUUGUACGAUUAUUUACGUUUGAAGUUGGAUUCAUAACAAACUGGACAUAUAUAUAUUACAGUUAAUUGCUAUUAAUAAGUAUUGCAAUAUGCAUUUUGUUUAAAUGAAUUAUCAGUAUUUUAGUUCUAAAUCAAUCCUAAUUCUAUCUCAUUUUUGAAUGAUAGUUUUUCAUAUGUGACGUCAUGCUGUUUCUAAAUUUCAUAAAUUCAAAUGUGGCAUAACGUUUCUGCCUUUUCGCCAUCGUAUGUGACGUCACAAUUUUUUUAAUUACGUUGACGCUUGGACUGAUUCGGAUGUGUGUCUAUUUUGUGAUAAACUUGGGUUUAGUUUUCUGUAAUUAGUUAAUAUUUUCAGUUUCAUUAUGUAUAUCUCUUUCAUAUUCAUUUGUUAACAUUUACUGUUUGCAAUAGCAUUAAGUAUUCUAUAUAAUAAGGAUGUUCUUAUCCCGGGCAUAAAAACAAUGCCGUAUUUUGCGAAACCUUUUCAACUUUUGAUCUUCAGUGCUGUACAACUUUGUACUUUUUUUCACUUUCGAUCUUUUAUAUCUGGGCGUCACUGGUGAGUCUUGUGUGGGCAAGGCGCGUUUUUGGCGUAUUGAAUUUUAAACCUGAUACUUUUUGUUAUCUAUUAAUCAUGUUUUUCUGUGUCUAAUAUGUUCUCCUAUUUAUUUGUAUUGUAGUCCUGUAAUAUUAUGUUGUCAUUUCAAUGUUAUAUUUAACUUUGCCAUUAAAGUGCGAGGUUUGGCAUGCCUUAAAACCAGGUUCAACCCACCACUUUUAUUCCCCUUUAAAAGUGUCCUGUACCAAGUCAGGAAGAUGGUCAUUGUUAUAUAUUGUUCGUUUCUCUUUGUGUUGCAUUUUAACGUUGAGUCGUUUGUGUUUUCUCUUAUUUUUGAGAUAUUGAGAUAAGACGUGGCACGGUACUUGUCUAUCCCAAAUUCAUGUAUUUGGUUUUCAUGUUACAUUUGUUAUUCUCGUGGUGUUUUGUCUGAUGAUUGGUCUGUUUCUGUGUGUGUUGCGUUUCGAUGUUGUGUCGUUGUUCUCCUCUUAUAUUUAAUGCGUUUCGCUCGGUUUUGGUUUGUUACCCCGAUUUUGUUUUUUGUCCAUGGAUUUAUGAGUUUUGAACAGCGGUAUACUACUGUUGCCUUUAUUUAUGUAUUUUUGCACACUGCAAUGUAUGUAUACGCCUUAUAUACUAAAUAUAUAUUUUAAAUGUCUAUUCAAUACCUUAGUCUUUUAUUUGAAAUUUACAUACACGCAUAUAUAACAUUGUUACACAUAUCACAAGGUUUUCUUGAAUCGAUUAUUGUUAAGCCUUUAUGAAUACCAAGGAAAUGUUAUAUACGUAUUUAUAUUUUUAGAAUAUGUAAUGUCUGUCUUGUCACAUAUCACGUGAUCUACACAGACACAGACUGCAACAACAACUUCCACUUCUAGACUUUCUGAUUUGGAAAUCACAAACAACAACACUGUGAGUAAAGUUAAUAGACUUGAUAGUCGGAAAAAAAAUUUUGACUCUGUCACUCAAACUACUUCGUGAACACUCGUGAUACUUUUUAAUAUGACUUAUAUUAUUUAUUGUAUAAGUUCAAUGUUUGACCCAUUAAACAUUUUCAGAAAGUCAUCUACACAGACACUUAUGACGACUAUGCACAUCGAUAUUCAUAAGCAGUAACUUCUUUAAUUGUAUUUAAUCUAAAUAGCUUUAAAUGCAAAGCUCUUUUUAUAUUUGCAAUAUUGCCUACAGUCGGCCGAAUUCUGUAUGACCUAUAUAUUAGUAUGGUUUUAUCAAAAACCUGUUGUUUUAUAUUUAUAAGUUGCGGGUCAUAAUUAAGCAUGAUAUGAUGAAGCAAAAUUUCAAUAAUCAUUUAAUGAUUAUUUUAACUACAAUGAAACGCAAUAGUUUCUGGUGUAUUCAUCAUGUUUUCCAAAACAACUGUUGCUCGAGUCUGAAAUACGAUUAUUUUUUAGGGGAUAUUCAACAUACUUAAUAAGAAUCUAUCAUUUCUAUCGAUCAACCCGCUGGGAAGUCGUCAAGUACACAGUAUUAUUUUAUUUAGGGGUUCACUGGAUACACGCAAAUUUUUAUUAGUCUUAACUUCAAGGUUAAUCGACCAAAUUUAUUAAAUGAUGAUUUUUAGUUUUGUUUUAUUUUACACCGGGCUCAUGAGGGUCUUAUAUCUGAUCUUAUUGCUGCGUCCACAAUUAUGAUUCUACGUAUUUCACCUGUAUCGGUUUGGACAAUUCCAUAUUUAUAUCACAUGACAAUUCCGCGGGAAAUUCUUCUAUUGAAACCGUAAUGAAUGGAUGUAAAUUUGGAUUAAUGCAUAUGUAAUGUGAAAUAUAUUGUUUUCUCUGUAUAUAUUUUUGAUGAGUUGAUGAUUACAUUUUCUACAACAUAAUUAUACAUCAGGUUUGUACACAUUUAGUCUCUACUCUAGUUUAUAAUCAAAACUGAAGGGAUACAUGUCCUGCAUAAUCCCAUCACAUUUCAACCAACAAAAAACUAUUGAAUAGACUUGUAUCAGCUGUUUAUGAACAUAUCUAUUUUCAUUUCAUCUAAUGUCAGUCAUAACAACUGACAAAAUCAGCAGAAACCGUGUAUUCGCGAAUUCUAUGUCUCUCACCUGCUAUGGACGAUUCUCUAUAACAAUCAACAUUGUAUUUUAGGGGUUGUUUACACUUUGAGUCGUAUGAUAAAUUGUGGUAGCGAGGGAAAGGACUUAAAAUUUAUGCAUAUAGCUUACCUAAAUAUGAAACCGUGGAGCCAAGCUGCACACAGGAACAAAGUUCUGGUAAGGAUACCAAUGCCUUUUGAGGAGACCCACACGUAGCCUCUGGCUGUUGGCAAUCCUCUUUAAAUAACUAAAGAAUUAAAUUAAGUAUACCAAUGCAAGUGUUGUUCAGUCAAGAGUGUAGAUAUCGAUGCCCUUGUUAAAAUUUUUUUAUCUAAUAUAAUACUAUUACAUAAGGACUUGAAAUGUAAACCAGCAGAACAAGUUUGUUUUAUAUAGACAUUAAAUGAGUCUACAUAUUAGUAUUAAGUCCUCUAAAGUAAAAAUAGGCAUUAAAUCACUACUUUACUUACGGUAAUCAGCACAUAUAUGUUACUGUUUGACAGUAUAGACUAGUACUCUUUAUAGGUUGUGGGUCCUUUAAACAAAAGAAGACGUUUUACAGUCUUUAUUUACCAAGGUUAUAACAACUACUGUUUAUAGGCCGGUGAUCAAAGUCGGAAUUAUGAAAUUUUAAUCGUCAAAAAUGGUACACGGCUAUAUCAUAUAUUAUUGGAUUCAAAAAUAUGUGUACUUUGAGAUUCUUCUGGUCGUCAAAAGAAAAUAUGGUGCAGUUUUUCAGAAAUCUUGAUCAAAGGUCACAUGUCGUUCUCAAGGAAAGACAAAAUUGAAUAUCUUACUCCAAUUUAAAUACUCUUUUGACAGUCAAAUGAUUGAAAACUUGAUUCUAUUUUCUUCCCUAUUUAGUUUUCUCAGCAAAAAUGUGAAAACCCAUCAUUAAAUGAGAUUUCUGAUCACACGUAAGAGACUUUAUAAAAAGGGGGGUAGUUUUCAAAUUUAAAUGAUGUAUUUUUUCAAGUAAUAAGAACAACGCCUGUCAAAAUUUAACAAAAUUUAUAGAAAAUUAUGAACAAAUAUGUACUUAUUAAUAUAACCAUCUAGUAUACCCCAAUGAAGGUGAAAACUUAAGUUUUUGGUCAUAAACGUUGAAUUCGGUACAUGCAAAACAGACAAAAAUAAAUAUUUCAAAACAUACUUAUAAUUGAGUUUUUACAAUGUCAUGACGAUUUCUAUGAAAUAAAGUAUUAAGGUGGUAUGGGAGUCUAAAAUAAAAAUGAUAGAAUUUGUUCAUACUUUGCCAAAACGUUGUAUCUAUUGAUACAUGUUGAAAAAUAUAAUAAAAAUGAUAGGUCACCGCGCAUUUUCUCAAGCUACAGGACGGGACAAAAUGACACAUUUUGUAUGGAUUAUACAGGAAAAAACACCAUUUUGUGAUUAGAAACUAAACAAAAUGAUAGAAUUGUUAAAUACUUCAGGAAAAGAUAGCUUUCAGACACUGCUUUGAGAAUAUCAAAAGAAAAGAUAGGGUCACCGUACGUUUUUUCCGGCUAAAAUACAAAAUAGGAAAAUUCCAUACAGAAUCCUUCAGAAAAUGCACUUUUUUUAGAGUUACCUCCCCUAAAAAUGCCAAUUUUUAAAAAAGAUAAAAACAACC